rnacentral:rRNA from 1 species
CAGUCGCCGCGGUAAUACAGAGGGUGCAAGCGUUAAUCGGAAUUACUGGGCGUAAAGCGCGCGUAGGUGGUUCGCCAAGUUGGAUGUGAAAUCCCCGGGCUCAACCUGGGAACUGCAUCCAAAACUGGCGAGCUAGAGUAUGGUAGAGGGUGGUGGAAUUUCCUGUGUAGCGGUGAAAUGCGUAGAUAUAGGAAGGAACAUCAGUGGCGAAGGCGACCACCUGGACUGAUACUGACACUGAGGUGCGAAAGCGUGGGGAGCAAACAGGAUUAGAUACCCGUGUAGUCCCUGUCUCUUAUAC